GAUGAACGCUGGCGGCGUGCCUAAUACAUGCAAGUCGAGCGAACAGACGAGGAGCUUGCUCCUCUGACGUUAGCGGCGGACGGGUGAGUAACACGUGGAUAACCUACCUAUAAGACUGGGAUAACUUCGGGAAACCGGAGCUAAUACCGGAUAAUAUAUUGAACCGCAUGGUUCAAUAGUGAAAGACGGUUUUGCUGUCACUUAUAGAUGGAUCCGCGCCGCAUUAGCUAGUUGGUAAGGUAACGGCUUACCAAGGCAACGAUGCGUAGCCGACCUGAGAGGGUGAUCGGCCACACUGGAACUGAGACACGGUCCAGACUCCUACGGGAGGCAGCAGUAGGGAAUGUUACGCAAUGGGCGAAAGCCUGACGGAGCAACGCCGCGUGAGUGAUGAAGGUCUUCGGAUCGUAAAACUCUGUUAUUAGGGAAGAACAAAUGUGUAAGUAACUAUGCACGUCUUGACGGUACCUAAUCAGAAAGCCACGGCUAACUACGUG
rnacentral:rRNA from 1 species